GAUGAACGCUGGCGGCGUGCCUAAUACAUGCAAGUCGAGCGAACGGACGAGAAGCUUGCUUUUCUGAUGUUAGCGGCGGACGGGUGAGUAACACGUGGAUAACCUACCUAUAAGACUGGGAUAACUUCGGGAAACCGGAGCUAAUACCGGAUAAUAUUUUGAACCGCAUGGUUCAAAAGUGAAAGACGGUCUUGCUGUCACUUAUAGAUGGAUCCGCGCUGCAUUAGCUAGUUGGUAAGGUAACGGCUUACCAAGGCAACGAUGCAUAGCCGACCUGAGAGGGUGACCGGCCACCCUGGAACUGAGACACGGUCCAGACUCCUACGGGAGGCAGCAGUAGGGAAUCUUCCGCAAUGGGCGAAAGCCUGACGGAGCAACGCCGCGUGAGUGAUGAAGGUCUUCGGAUCGUAAAACUCUGUUAUUAGGGAAGAACAUAUGUGUAAGUAACUGUGCCCAUCUGACGGUACCUAAUCAGAAAGCCACGGCUAACUACGUG
rnacentral:rRNA from 1 species